AAAACAGGCAGCUAUAGGCGAGGACCCGAACUGACACGUACCUAGAGGAGCUCCAAGAGAGCUGGAGAUGGACUUUGGACAAGGGCAAGGAGUGACAGGACAAGGGGAGAUGGUCCUAAAUGGAAACAAGCCCACAUUAAGUAUUGAACGGUGACAAGGAGUUGUCCCCAGAUGCUUCUCGCCUCCAAGCUGAGAAGAGAUGGAGAAGUUGGCCUCUCGUGAAGCGCGAGUGUUCCACCCAUCCUGAUGGUCUGGCUUGAGUCACCAUCAAGAAGAGCUGAGCUCUGUGUUGAUCUCAAACCAGCUGUCCCCCCUUAGAGAGUGUCUCUUGUUCCUGCACAGUUCUUCUCCGGGUUCAUUUCUUUCUCAAUGUGUCUCAAUGUG